UCUGAUUUAGCAUAUGUAAUGCAAAGGAUUGUAAAUCCUUCUAAAGCUUUAGAAGCUAGUCGGGU
rnacentral:tRNA from 1 species